CCGGUGCAAACUAGGAACAUUCAAAAGAGGUGCACAUAUUUAGAGUGAUGCAGCAAACACAGUAGCAUCAUUUUGAUAACUGCUCUAAAGCAAUAAUAGCUCUGUUUUGUAGACUGUUCACUGCAAUACGUGUGUUACCAACAGUGUCAGCCAGCCUGCGGACAUGAUUCUCAUUUCAUUUACAACAGUGCAAGACUGGAGAAACUCCACUAAGUUUGUCAACAAAAAGCAUGGUGUAACUGAGAUCAGAGUGAGGUACCAGAUGGGUUAUAUCCUGAAAACUAAUUUAAGAUCUGAGCCUGAUCCCAUCACCUUUAUGGAUAGAACAGCUGGUGAUGUCAAGCAGCCGUUUUACCUGAAGAUUGUACUGAGGGGAUCUCACAAAGUUUACUGAUCUUUGAAGGGGGGUUAGAUUUGUGAAAUCUUCAAACCCUAGUGAUAACGAAGGGGACAAGCAAGGGACAAUUGCAGAGGCGCUGACUUCAGAUGCAGAUACCUGGCCUGGGUGUUGGAGCAUCAUUUUGCUGAAAGGUCAAAAAUAAAUAUAUAAAUUAUA